UCUCCUUCUCUCUCCCCCCCCCCCUCUCUCCAGUAGCUGUCACCAUGGUUACAGUGAAAUCUAUAGACAGAUGAACAGAUAAAAGCAUCAGGGAAAGUAUGGGCCAAUCAAAUGUGUGUGAGAGUGAGUGAUUGUGUGUGUGAGAGUGAGUGAUUGUGUGUGUGAGAGUGAGUGAUUAUGUGUGUGAGAGUGAGUGAUUGUGUGUGUGAGAGUGAGUGAUUGUGUGUGUGAGAGUGAGUGAUUAUGUGUGUGAGAGUGAGUGAUUGUGUGUGUGAGAGUGAGUGAUUGUGUGUGUGAGAGUGUGUGUUACCCUCUUUAAGGGGCAGUAGGGUGAUGGCCACACUCAGCCUCCCACUCCCCAGGCUAACCAGAUGUGGUGUGGUUGUCUGGACCUUCAGGCCUUUCCCUGUGUCUAUCAGAUCCAGGGGCGACUGGGGAGAAACACACAUUUACCAUACAGUUUAAUAGUUUAGAAUAUGACAUCUUUUAACAGUGUGACGGUGUUCUCCUUUCUUUUCAUGAACAACAGAUUAAAAACAAUGAACUUGGGCAUUAAAAGUUUUGCAACUUCUUUUGAAAAUAAACUGAAAGGCACUUUCUUCUCUCUUCCUCUCCUUUCUCCUCCUUUCCUCUCCUUUCUUCUCCUCCUCUCCAGAGGAAACACAAAUCACCAGCCGCUCCAGGGCUUUCUGUGCUUUCUAUAGUGCUGCUGGUCCAAACUAUAAUCCAAACCAUUCUAUUACCAGUAUAUUGUAGCUGUGUGAGGUUAGGUGUGUGAAGUGUGUGAGAUUAGGUGUGUUAACUGUGUGAGGUUAGGUGUGUGAGGUUAGGUGUGUUAACUGUGUGAGGUUAGGUGUGUUAACUGUGUGAGGUUAGGUGUGUGAGGUUAGGUGUCUGAGGUUAGGUGUCUGAGGUUAGGUGUGUGAGGUUAGGUGUGUGAGGUUAGGUAUGUGAGGUGUGUGAGGUUAGGUGUCUGAGGUUAGGUGUGUUAACUGUGUGAGGUUAGGUGUGUGAGGUUAGGUAUGUGAGGUUAGGUGUGUGAGGUAUCUAUUGUCACCUGUGUCUCGUCUGGACUCAUCUGGUCUGACUCUGACUGACAGAAUGUCUCUGGGUCCUAAAGGAGAGAGAGGAGAAGGAGGUUAGACUACAUAGAAGAUAGACCCAGAAACUAAACACACACACACACACACACACACACUGUGGCACUCUACGACCGUGACUGUGACCAUGAGUGCUAGUCUGAUCCAACCACCCUGCAUUGUUCAGCUGUUGAUUGGAGUGAGGUUUAUUUCACAGCUCUGUACAAAAAGGAAAGCAAAGGCCAAUAAAUGCCCAUCUAGAUUGAGUGUGGGGGUGUCUAUGAGUAUGUAAAA
rnacentral:lncRNA from 1 species